GGGAGGGGCUCUCGGGCAGCCGCUCGGGAGGAGCCCAGGGCUCCUCGCGAAAGUGCGGCCGGAGCCCGGAAGCGUCUGCAGGCCCUAGUGCGGGGAGGAGACGUGGAGGCCUUUGGGGGAACCACGACGACUUCAACGGUGACGCAAUUGUGCAAAAUGAUACAGAUGUAUCUAUUUAAAUUCUGCCUGGAAGGCAGGAGCCAUCCUAUGGGCCUGCAAGUGCUCCACGCAACUAGGAAUCGGGAACAGCGGCCAAGAGGGUUAUAAAAAUAAUUAAUAACAAUAAUUAGAAAGGCGCGCGGAGGCUGGAAGGAUGGUGGGUCUCUGGGCUGGGGAACUGGGACUCCUGGCUUAUUGCUUGCUCUUCAGCAUCAACACCCCACGCCUUUCGCAGCACGAGCUUGAGUCAUUUUCUAUGAAAUUGGUGACUAAGAGAGAUGCAGCAUAUUGCACCCCCAACCAGCCACAAAGGGGCGAGCCCUCGUCGGGAGACCGCAAAUGUUAUUUGUGCUCCCCCUGGAGGCGACAUUGUCCGAGGCUUGCAAGCUUUCCCAAAGGUCUCUCCAAAAGUAUUUGGUUGUGAUCCUUGAGAUAGGAUGUGUCCUCAUGCUCUCUGAGAUUUGGCCAGAGAUCCAGGGCCAACUCUGCGCCUCUGUCUGGCAAGUCCGGAAACACUUGUCUGGCCAGGCCCAUUCUGUGGCCCAGGGCUGCUUAAAACUUGUGGCAUUGGGGCGAAGGCGCAUUCUGAGCUGACCCCGCACCGCACCCUAUCCUCGACUUGCUGACGGGGAAAUCACUUGCACACACUGAUUCACAGUGGUAGAAAUUGCUGUGUUGAGAGGUACGUGGGGCCAUUUAGACCCUCGUCCUAAGGUUUUGAGUGAGGAAACUGGUACCUGGGAAGUGGUUACAAGAAGGCUUCCUUGUUAUUCCUGGCGGUCAAGGACUUCAGGAGCACUUGGGGCAAACGCUUACUAUAAAGUCCUUAUUUCAUUUUCACGAUCCCCAGGGGCCAAUACUCAAAUCCUAAACCCAAUUUCAAUUCUACCGGGAAGAUUUCAAGUAUCGUUUAAAGUUCUUUGUGAACGGAUGGGAGCAACUCUCUGUACCCUUCCCAUUGCAUUUGAGUGGAGGUUCUUGCCUUGGCAGCAUUGAUAAAUCCAGUUACUUUAUAAAUUCUCAAAGGCUAAGAAAGGCAACCAAUUGCCUUGAAGUCAGAGCUUGCCACUUUCCCGUGGAGGGGAGAAGAGGAAGGUUUGCCGCUUGAAAGACCAUUAGCUCAGGCGGCGUUUGCAGAGGCUAGUAUUCUGAAAGGAGGAUCUGUGGAAGAAGUUGAAGAGUAGGAGCCAGCUCUGCCGGAAAGCUGAAUUUGGUCCAAACACCACAAGUUAGCAGCGUGGCUGCCUUUCUCUGGGCCUCAGUUUUCUGCUCUAAAAAACGUGAGCUCAUCACACUGGGACCCCAGGUUCUGGAUGGCUGUGGGAAGCUCUGGGAAUCUCAGAGCACACUCCAAGUUGGGAACUGAUGUGUGAUGAAUCAUGCAGUGGUGAUUUCAUUGGCGACAGUGACCUCAUUCCCUUGGCCCACAGUAAUGCCAAACAGACUGCCAAGGCUAUUAGAGCUCUGGGGACGGUCACACCUGGUAUGGAUAUGGAUUGGAAAGGGGGUGGGGGAGUCAUCCAGAAGGCUGCCCAGUCAGGCCCUGCUCCCUUCAAACUGGACUCAUUAGACCUCUGCAAGACCCUCGAUUUCCCAUGGGGGAAAAAAUGCCCAAGUGGUAAAACGGAACAAAACCAAAACCAGUUCUCAAAUGUCAAGGACUCGGGGACAGGAAGCGACUUUGUUCCUAAGCAUCCCAUAGGCCUCCGCUUUUUCUUUUCCCCCUUUUGUUUGAACUGUGAACACUGAAACAGACACAGGUCUGUGGGAACAGUGAACUUGACUUGGCAGCCUUCUCUUUUUCCUCUACUCUGCCUUCCUCCUCCUCAUUGACUCAUUCAGUAUUUCAUUUAACAAGCAUGAAUUGAGGUCGCCUAGAAGCCAGGCUUUCUUCCUAGCCAGGGGACUUGGAGCUGGCAAGCCACCAUCACUAGAGGGGAGCGGCAAGGAGCUGAUCUGUAAACAGAUAACUGCUGUAUAAUGUAAUCAGUACCCUGGUAGAGGAGAAAGAACGGUCUUCUAGAAGAGGCAAGGAGGCAGUAGCGCACAGCUGUGGGUGUGCCCAGGAGUGAUUUGCGGAAGUGGUAUCAUUGGCCUGGGGCUCGCGAGGCUAAUAGGGGAAGGCCUGGGAAAAGCAGACAGCAUGCCCUGGCCAAGGAAGUGCAGCACACAAUUUCCUGGGGAUGGCAGCCAUCUGCAGUGGACAGAGGGCAGGCUUAGUGGUGUAUAGGAACUGAUGAUACUUCUUGUUUGUCAAACCUUAUUCCCAUAGGGACACACACACUCAGAGAGGUUCAUCUUCAUCUACAUAGCAAGAGACGAAGGCACCGUCUAGGUAGCGGUGGUCCUAAAGGCAAGGAUACAGUGAACGAGGAGGAGAUUGGCUGAGCACCUGCAUUGUGCUGUGUACUUGGAGUUAUCAAUAAGGAAGUGAAAUGAUCAUCAUCCUUCGUGCCACUGCUUCCUCUUACACAUCAUCCCUGUGUUCACAUUGAGCCACGUAACUGCCAAGGACUCGCCUGCCACACAGACAGAUCUUACUGACUCCACAUCAUCUGGCCACAUGCCAUGCCUUCCUGUCUGCACCUCCGUCUACGUCGCUUUCUUUGGUAACGGACAUCGCAUGGUAUUUUUGAGCUGGGGUACUAAUGGCUUAAACACUGAAGUGAGUUCUUUAAAAUCA